ACCUGGGAUAGCUCAGUCAGUAGAGCAUGAGACCCUUAAUCUCAGGGUUGUGGGUUCAAGCUCCACGUUGGGAA